rnacentral:rRNA from 1 species
CCCUUAGACGUUCUGGGCCGCACGCGCGCUACACUGACCAGUGCAACAAGCAUCCGUCCUUGGCCGACAGGCUCGGGCAAUCUUUGAACGCUGGUCGUGAUGGGGAUAGACCUUUGCAAUUAUGGGUCUUCAACGAGGAAUUCCUAGUAAACGCAAGUCAUCAGCUUGCAUUGAUUACGUCCCUGCCCUUUGUACACACCGCCCGUCGCACCUACCGAUUGAAUGGUCCGGUGAAAUCUCGGGACGGCGGCUUGGUCGCUUGCGUCCGACUGCUGAAACUUGAUUAAACCAUAUCAUUUAGAGGAAGGUGAANUCGUANCA